rnacentral:lncRNA from 1 species
AUUGUUUGUUGUUGCUUGCUUGUUUUUGAAGGAAUAAAACUAUGAGAGCUAAAGUUGUGUUUCAAAAGAAGAAAAAUAUUCUAAUAAUCAAGAAUGCCCAGAAAUUGAAUGAUUUGCAUAAGCACUUCUUGGAAACUUGGUAGGAGGGAUUCCUCUCCAGACUGCCACUGAAUCACAAGAUCUCUUACCCCAUCCCAAAGACAUGGGAUAUUUUCUCCAUCUUUUCCUGAGUGAUUGGAGGUGAGGUGUAAAGGGUCAGAUUGAUAGGAGAUUCCCAAGAUGCCCAACUAUCAUUCAAAACAUCUGCCUCAAUGAGGUGCCCAGUCUUGGCCAAGCCUGCAAGAAGUAACAUGAAGAAUCCUUGUAGGCUCUCCCCCUAUGAGGGGCAAUGGAUUUACCCUGUUGCCUGGAGACCAGACUCAAACAAGAGACCCAGAGAGAGCACCUGGGCGCUGGCUCCAGAGGGGUUAAGAACGAGUCCUGGAGCGAAUAACUCCUGGAGAAGAUAAUGGAGCCAAGUAACCCCAGCAAAGUGAAGUCUCAGCUUGAGCUGGAGGGAGAUGAUAGGAAGAAGAAGGCAGCAUCUGCAGACCUCCUCCCCAGGCAGGACUUACCUCCUGCCCCAGAGUUCAGGCUGCCUCCUGCUGGAUUACUAUUUCUCAACAUAUAAUUAAAUAUUGUUUUUGUGAUUAAUCA